GUCUGCCUGAGAGCCUGCUGCCACAGAAGUGUGAUUACAUGACAUUUUUAGGCAGAUGUGAAAUGGAUGCACAUUGGAUUGCCUACUUCUGUUGGUCAGAUGCCCCAGAAUAUUCUGAUUAACCUUCACUGAAAGGGUGCGGAAAGAUCAUGCUACAAUAACUUUCUGUUUGUGAAGCCCUUGUGUUUGUGAAUCUUGACUC
rnacentral:lncRNA from 1 species